UUUGAGGUGACUGAGUGGCGGACGGGUGAGUAACGCGUGGGUAACCUGCCUUAUACAGGGGGAUAACAGUUGGAAACGACUGCUAAUACCGCAUAAGCGCACAGUACCGCAUGGUACGGUGUGAAAAACUCCGGUGGUAUAAGAUGGACCCGCGUCUGAUUAGCUAGUUGGUGAGGUAACGGCUUACCAAGGCAACGAUCAGUAGCCGACUUGAGAGAGUGAUCGGCCACAUUGGGACUGAGACACGGCCCAAACUCCUACGGGAGGCAGCAGUAGGGAAUAUUGCACAAUGGGGGAAACCCUGAUGCAGCGACGCCGCGUGAAGGAUGAAGUAUUUCGGUAUGUAAACUUCUAUCAGCAAGGAAGAAAAUGACGGUACUUGACUAAGAAGCCCCGGCUAAAUACGUGCCAGCAGCCGCGGUAAUACGUAUGGGGCAAGCGUUAUCCGGAUUUACUGGGUGUAAAGGGAGCGUAGGCGGUAUGGCAAGUCAGAAGUGAAAGCCUGGGGCUCAACCCCGGAAUUGCUUUUGAAACUGUCAAACUAGAGUGUCGGAGGGGUAAGCGGAAUUCCUAGUGUAGCGGUGAAAUGCGUAGAUAUUAGGAGGAACACCGGU
rnacentral:rRNA from 1 species